rnacentral:rRNA from 1 species
AGAGUUUGAUCCUGGCUCAGGAUGAACGCUAGCUACAGGCUUAACACAUGCAAGUCGAGGGGCAUCAGGGUGUAGCAAUACACCGCUGGCGACCGGCGCACGGGUGAGUAACACGUAUCCAACCUGCCCUUUACUCGGGGAUAGCCUUUCGAAAGAAAGAUUAAUACCCGAUGGCAUAAUGAUUCCGCAUGGUUUCAUUAUUAAAGGAUUCCGGUAAAGGAUGGGGAUGCGUUCCAUUAGGUUGUUGGUGAGGUAACGGCCCACCAAGCCUUCGAUGGAUAGGGGUUCUGAGAGGAAGGUCCCCCACAUUGGAACUGAGACACGGUCCAAACUCCUACGGGAGGCAGCAGUGAGGAAUAUUGGUCAAUGGGCGAUGGCCUGAACCAGCCAAGUAGCGUGAAGGAUGACUGCCCUAUGGGUUGUAAACUUCUUUUAUAAAGGAAUAAAGUCGGGUAUGCAUACCCGUUUGCAUGUACUUUAUGAAUAAGGAUCGGCUAACUCCGUGCCAGCAGCCGCGGUAAUACGGAGGAUCCGAGCGUUAUCCGGAUUUAUUGGGUUUAAAGGGAGCGUAGGUGGACUGGUAAGUCAGUUGUGAAAGUUUGCGGCUCAACCGUAAAAUUGCAGUUGAUACUGUCAGUCUUGAGUACAGUAGAGGUGGGCGGAAUUCGUGGUGUAGCGGUGAAAUGCUUAGAUAUCACGAAGAACUCCGAUUGCGAAGGCAGCUCACUGGACUGCAACUGACACUGAUGCUCGAAAGUGUGGGUAUCAAACAGGAUUAGAUACCCUGGUAGUCCACACAGUAAACGAUGAAUACUCGCUGUUUGCGAUAUACAGUAAGCGGCCAAGCGAAAGCAUUAAGUAUUCCACCUGGGGAGUACGCCGGCAACGGUGAAACUCAAAGGAAUUGACGGGGGCCCG